CUCCAGACUCCUACGGGAGGCAGCAGUGGGGGAUAUUGCACAAUGGGGGAAACCCUGAUGCAGCGACGCCGCGUGAAGGAAGAAGUAUUUCGGUAUGUAAACUUCUAUCAGCAGGGAAGAAAAUGACGGUACCUGACUAAGAAGCCCCGGCUAACUACGUGCCAGCAGCCGCGGUAAUACGUAGGGGGCAAGCGUUAUCCGGAUUUACUGGGUGUAAAGGGGGCGCAGACGGCAGCGCAAGCCAGGAGUGAAAGCCCGGGGCCCAACCCCGGGACUGCUCUUGGAACUGCGCGGCUGGAGUGCAGGAGGGGCAGGCGGAAUUCCUGGUGUAGCGGUGAAAUGCGUAGAUAUCAGGAGGAACACCGGUGGCGAAGGCGGCCUGCUGGACUGCGACUGACGUUGAGGCCCGAAAGCGUGGGGAGCAAACAGGAUUAGAUACCCGUGUAC
rnacentral:rRNA from 1 species